rnacentral:rRNA from 1 species
CCCUUAGAUGUUCUGGGCCGCACGCGCGCUACACUGAUGCACUCAACGAGUCUAAAACCUGCUCUGAUAGGGGUGGGUAAUCUUUUGAAUGUGCAUCGUGAUUGGGAUAGAUGAUUGCAAUUUUUCAUCUUCAACGAGGAAUGCCUAGUAAACGCAAGUCAUCAGCUUGCAUUGAUUACGUCCCUGCCCUUUGUACACACCGCCCGUCGCUCCUACCGAUUGAAUGAUCCGAUGAAUAUCAUGGAUUGAGGAUGCAAGUAGGUUAGCCUAUCUUCAUCUUCGAGAAGUGAAGUAAAUCUUAUCAUUUAGAGGAAGGAGAAGUCGUAACA